rnacentral:lncRNA from 1 species
AAAAAUUAGGCAGCGUGUCCUAUGCUAUCCCUUUAAGCCCAGUAAUUUGGGUGUUUACCAGGUGUUAGGUGUUAGAGUUUGUUGCCUGUGUCAGCUUUCAAGGCACUAGAAGGAAAGGUAGUAUUUUAUACAUUCAUUUCAGCCUAAUAUAACCAGCACCGACUCUUUGAAUUCAUUCUCUUUCAGCUAUUGCUUUUCGCUUUCUCUAAGUCUCAUUUUCUUCCGUAGUCUCAUUUCUGCCUUCUGCUAUUCAUACCCCUUUCUGCAGUUGCAUGUAUCAGCUGCAGUCCAAUAGACCGCCACGAUUUUCUUUAUUUUCCCCCCGCACAAAUGUAAGCAUAACCACUUCUUCGCUCAAGUAUUAAAAAGCACGCCAAAGCUGGUUUACACCUUUGGUCAAAACGCUCUCCCCUACACCAUACCGUAAUUCCUUCCAUUUCUCCUUUCCUCCGGCAAAGCAGCUUUCGAUCUAAAUUGCUAUUGCUCUGCCCACCGAACCCAAGUUCUCGCUAGCCCUUCCGUUUCCAGAGAGAAACGAAAACCACUUGGUUUUGAGGGCUUUCAAGACCACGACCCACUUUCUUCCUCCUCAUCGGAUCUCUGACCGUCUGCACUUCCUCAUUCGGAAUCCAUCUCCACCUAAGCGGCUGUCUUCCCGCAGCGCCACUUCCGGAUCUCCGGUGUCUCCAUUUUACGGGUCCGCCCACCUCCCCCGUGCACUUCCUAGAGCUUGGUCCGACCACCAGUGGGGUCGGAGCGGAGGCGCGGGCUGGCCGAGCGAGCGCGAGGGGUCCUUUCCUAGAAGACGCAAUGCACGGCGUCUAGGGUCUGAGAACCCCGGUCCUGCCUCGGAGUCGAGUGCAAGGACGGGGAGGAACAGUUCGUUCCGAGCACCGAGCGCCGCGCACCCGGAAGUGGCGCGGUACGGGCGCUGCGUCGCCUCCGGAGGCGGGUGCCAGGUACCGGGAGGUGGAGGAGACGCCACGGUACUCCUGGGCGUGAGUGUCAGCCGAGGGCGCAAGAGGCGGGAAGCCGGCCUGGUUCCGCGGCUGUACAUGCGGCCGGGUUCCGGGGGCCGAGGGCCUCCGGGGCGGCUGGGCUGGCUAAAGGGCUGCCGUGGCCGAAGGCGAGCCCGCCUCCCUUCAGUUCCCACCGCCGGCACCGGCUUUCUUCAGCUUCUGACUUUGUGA